AUCAGGAGCUUCAUGUGGACGAUCUAUAGAGGCCAGACAUACUGUGUGGCUAUAUUGUAAUGAUCAGACCAUCCCAAUGGUGAUCAGACUGCAGUGAUCGACUACAUGCAUGAAGGUAAUGUAUUCUGAACACAUAACAGUAAAAUAUUUACUGUAAAAAUUUAAAUUUUAAAUUUAAAUGCAUGCUAUAUAUAUCAUAUUUAAAUCCUUGUAUAGGAUU
rnacentral:lncRNA from 1 species